AAAUGUAUGGUCAUCCUCACCUAUGCCUUAAACCCAAGGCUAGCCUGGGGUACAUGAAGCCCUGUCUCAAAACAAACAAGCAAACAAAAAAUAAAACAAAAACAAACAACCUCAAACCUCAAACCAGGCAGCCAAGCAAUAGCAACAACAACAACAACAACAAAAGAUCUUAGUCUGAGUCUAAGAAACUAAGAGCUGGAGAGGUUCAACUCAAUCCAAAAGAAUACCAUCCCGGGAGACUGUGAUGAAGGGACCUAUUGUCUCAUCCAUCUGUAUAAGCCUGAUUGCUCGCAGCGGCUUAACAGGGCAGGUGCCCGGGGAAUGGUUGUGGAGCAAGUACUUAGAUCUUUCUUAUUUAUGUGAUUUUGUUUUUAAAUCAAGACAAUCCACACACCAUUAUAGCCAUUCUUUAAACGUAACGUCUGAGUGGGUUUUAAACUCACAAGGCUGUGCAGAUGUCGGCACCACCUCACCCUAGACCUUUACCAACAACACCCACCGAGUCACUUCCGUUGAUGACAACCACUAAUUGUUUAUUAUCGAUCUGUCUGUUCCAGAUAUUUCAUAUAAAUGGAGUCUUUUGUAUCCGGCAUCUUUUCUUUAGCAUAAUGACAUAUAUAGUAUAUAUCUCACAUAUAUGUAUUAUUAUAUAUACACUUACUAUAUAAUAUCUAUUAUAAUAUCUAUCAGUAUAUGGCUGUUUAUAAGAUUGAGUAAUAUUCUAUUGCAUCAAAACCAAAUGAUCUGCAGGCUAGUUUUUCAAAUGUCCACGAUUUGCCAGGUUUCCCAUCAUACACUUGGCGGAGCUGGGAAUGUUCCUCAGGGGGGUCUAGGUUUUGGGGGUUUGUUUUUACUGUAGUGUCAGAUGCUUUUUACAGAUCUGGCACCCUCGGCUCCCCAGGUUUCCAGGCUUUAGUCAGACUGAAUCGGAUCCUUGGUGUUGUGUGAUUGGGAGUUGCUGCUGGCAGGACUCCAGGGGGCUUCCUUCCCACCCCACUGCCCCCUUCCAGGGUUGCAGAGAGGUCUGUCUGGCUGUCUGGAACAAUAGAACAAAGAGGUCUCCCUGAACUGCAGAAACCUGUUUGACAGAGAUUGCUGCAGUCAUGAAUCAAGCUGCUGAAACUACUUCCACCUCCUCCCUGUGCAAACACCCCUGGGCCCUGGAGCCCGGCCUUUUCUCCAAAUCCCAAGCCGAGGCUUGUCCCUGGGGAAUGGAGCAAUGUUGGGAGCAGAGGUCAGGAACAUGGUCUUUCAGUGGCAGGGGUGCCUUCACACUCAGGGCUCCAACUGAAAGUUGCUUUGAUGAAAGUCCCUCCCCUCGACUUUGUGGUCAGGCAACAUUUACCUGCUGGGCAGCGCAGUGGUGUGCACACUGGGGGCCCCCAGGCCAGGCCGGGUUGUAGUUCUGGAGAGUGCAUUCCAGCAAAGAGUUAGUCAGAUUCCUUUCCUCUUGCUAAUAGGUCAUCCACAACCUUAUGCCUAACCAGACUGCACCCUUUCUGAAAGAGGAAGGUGGUAAGUCCCGGAUAGCAGAUGCUUCUUAGAGAGCUUCCGUGUUGAGGAGCUGUGAGGAGAUGGCCAUGUUAAUCCUGAGGCCACUCUGUGAUGUGUGUGUGGCGAUUGUUAUUAUUCUGGUGGUGGAUGAGAAAAGCUAGUCUUAAAGACUAACUAAUUGAACCACACUGCCCAGCUUCUCUAAGCCAAGGUUGACAUUGUAACCAGCCCUUGUGACAUCCAUAUGCACCAGGAGUAGUGACAAAGGUGGUGUUGUGACCAUCACUAUCACAACAAUUAAACAAGGCGGAGGGAGGAUGCCGAAGCUGAGGGAGCACUGGAAUGGACAGUGGGCUGUCUGACUUUCUAGCCUACACCCUUAACCACAAGGCAGGCAGACUUCUGCACCUCUCAGACAACAUCUGACAGCCAGGUGAUCAUUCAAUGUGUCUCCCUCCUCCCAUGCUGCCCUUCUCUGCCUUCAACAUUUGAACCACAGAUGAUGGUUCGGUGGUGUGCAUAGGCUUACAGGGUUAGGGGCACGGUAGAAAACUGAGUUGAUGUUUGCUGAGGGCUCCCCUUGGGUGUGGUCCUCUCUCUGAUACCACUUCCCAAGCUUGUGUGGUGUUGCAGCAGGGCUGAGGGGAAGAGGCAAGGGCUGGUAGAUCAGAAGAGCAAGCCGAGAGAGUGAGACUGGAGCUGAGCCACUUGGCAGUGGAGGGUCCCAUGCCUGGCCAGUCAUCCUCCUCAGGCCCACUGAUGUUCCUCGAUGCGGACUGUGACAUUACAGCACAACAGCAGCACCUGUCUGACCAGUGACCUGGCCCCCAAGAAUUCUCCUUACAGUUCUGACCUUUCCAUCCAGAGUUCGUGUUCUCCCUUGACAGAAUCUUUUCUCUGACAAGAAUCCACUUCCGCUCUCUGGGCCCUGUAGGCCUCUCUUGCUGUGAGGUUUCAUCUCUGUGCCUUAAGGCAGGCUUGGCUGGGAAGGACAUGAGGGCAUUCCCAGGCCUUCUAGACUUGCCGGCUAGCUGUUGCUCCCCACCCACCUCUGCAUGCACCUUCUCUUAGGCUGCUUGUGCUCAGAGCAGAGCUCUGUGACAGGUUUGAAAAUGAAAGACUCUUCCUGGCUGCUCCCAGAUGCGUUUGCAUCUGCAUCGGGCUGACAUCUUCUUUAUGAUAUCUGAUGAAAGGUUUGCCACGCGGCGUUUCUACAUGAGCGCGUGCUGGAUGGAAACCCUCCAAGGGCACUGGGAAUAUUCACACUAACAAGCUAGGCACACGAGGAUGGCUGCUGUCUGCAAGCACAGAACAGAUUUAGCAACAGGCCCUGGAAGGAUGCUUCAAGCCCUGCUGCACCUGAGCUUUUCCUGCCCUGGGAUUCUUGC
ensembl:sense_intronic 4632404M16Rik RIKEN cDNA 4632404M16 gene